rnacentral:sRNA from 16 species
UGUUAUUUGCAUAAACAACACACACGUAUCGGCACAUGUGCCGGGGUGCCGUCGGACGCGAAUGCGUGCGGUGGUCGGCGUCAUGGGAUACGUGGAGGCAUAAC